rnacentral:rRNA from 1 species
UACGGAGGGGGCUAGCGUUGUUCGGAAUUACUGGGCGUAAAGUGUGCGCAGGCGGCGUUGCAAGUCGAGUGUGAAAUCCCCGAGCUUAACUUGGGAAUUGCGCUCGAAACUACGAUGCUCGAGUAUGGCAGAGGAAGGUGGAAUUCCACGUGUAGCGGUGAAAUGCGUAGAGAUGUGGAGGAACACCGAUGGCGAAGGCAGCCUUCUGGGCCAAUACUGACGCUCAUGCACGAAAGCGUGGGGAGCAAACAGG